UACGAAGGGUGCAAGCGUUACUCGGAAUUACUGGGCGUAAAGGGCGCGUAGGCGGCCUGUUAAGUCGAACGUGAAAUCCCCGGGCUCAACCCGGGAACUGCGUCCGAUACUGGCAGGCUUGAAUCCGGGAGAGGGAUGUGGAAUUCCAGGUGUAGCGGUGAAAUGCGUAGAUAUCUGGAGGAACACCGGUGGCGAAGGCGACAUCCUGGACCGGCAUUGACGCUGAGGCGCGAAAGCCAGGGGAGCAAACGGG
rnacentral:rRNA from 1 species